AGCUUCAGUAGCGUAUAUUAAAGUUGUUGCAGUUAAAAAGCUCGUAGUCGCAUUUCUGGCGAGAGGAUCCGGUCCGACCUUUUGGUGGGUUCUUGGGUCUCUUUCGCCAUCCUUGAGUGGUUCGUUCUGGCAUUAGGUUGUCGGAGCGUCAGCCGCUCAUCGUUUACUGUGAGAAAAUUAGAGUGUUCAAAGCAGGCUUAUGCCGUUGAAUAUAUUAGCAUGGAAUAAUAAGAUAGGACCUCGGUACUAUUUUGUUGGUUUGCGCACCAAGGUAAUGAUGAACAGGGACAGUUGGGAGUAUUUGUAUUUCGUUGUCAGAGGUGAAAUUCUUAGAUUUACGAAAGACAAACUACUGCGAAAGCAUUUACCAAGGAUGUUUUCA
rnacentral:rRNA from 1 species